rnacentral:lncRNA from 1 species
UACGCCUCCCACUUUCCCCACUUUCUCAUCUUCUCUCACUCAUUCAUUUUCAUCCCUCUCUCAAUACCAAGCCACUCAUGCACUCAUCAUUCUCCCACUCUCCACUCUCUCACGACCCCAUCUUUCACUCUAUCUAUCACGUCUAAUGCCCUCCCUGUGCCUCAGUCAUUCACGCUCUCACUGCCUCACGACCUUACACUCACUUACAUUCACC